GACGAACGCUGGCGGCGUGCUUAACACAUGCAAGUCGAACGGAAAGGCCUGCUUUCCCUUGUGGAUUGCGGGUACUCGAGUGGCGAACGGGUGAGUAACACGUGAGUGAUCUGCCCCCAACUUGGGUAUAAGCCUGGGAAACUGGGUCUAAUUCCCGAUAGGACUGCAGGGUGGUGCCAGUGGUGGAAAACGAUUUUCUAGUGGUUGGGGAUGAGCUCGCGGCCUAUCAGCUUGUUGGUGGGGUAAUGGCCUACCAAGGCGGCGACGGGUAGCCGGCCUGGGAGGGUGGACGGCCACAUUGGGACUGAGAUACGGCCCAGACUCCUACGGGAGGCAGCAGUGGGGAAUAUUGCACAAUGGGCGGAAGCCUGAUGCAGCGACGCCGCGUGGGGGAUGACGGCCUUCGGGUUGUAAACUCCUUUCGACCGCGAGGAAGCCACCUGGUUGGAAGGGUGGUGACGGUAGUGGUAGAAGAAGCACCGGCUAACUACGU
rnacentral:rRNA from 1 species